UUUUGCAAAAAAAAUUAACUAAAAAGCCGAGGCUUUAAAUUUUUUGGUACAAUAGUGCGUUGGAGUCCUAAAACACUAAUUAAUAUAAUGAAUGACUUUAGAAACAACAAAAUUAUUUUUCAGAUUUACAUCUUCUCUAAAUGCGAUAUCAUCAGCGUGCCUCUUUCCUUACAAGCUUAAUAAAUUUCUUCUUCGUCAUUGAUUAUAGUCUUCAUUAUGAAUCAUCAUCAAGAUUGAAGCUUGACAUAAGUUAUUCUUGUAUUUUAUCUUUUAGGAAUUGCUUUGUAGAUGGAGAAAGAGAGAUCCAGCGGCUAUUGGUUUAUGAAACAUUCCUAAUAGAAGUUGGGAAGAUCAUUCUGUCAUCUGAGUUGCCCCUGUUCAGUCCUUUGGUUAAAAUAUGGCAGAUUAUCCUUAGUUUAAGUGCUACUAAUUGGUUUAUUUACAUGAGGGACUAUAAUUUAAGUUGCAGUUCAUGCAGCGAUGGGAUCUAGAUUGGAUUGUGUAACGUCUUGAAGAUGCUAAUAAGGCUUAGUGUCUUAAUUAGUGUGCCUGGAGGACCUAAUUGGAUAUAUGUGUGAAAUUAAUUGAUUAAAUGUAUGACUACGUGGCAUAUAUGAUUUAUAUGAUAAUAUGAAUAUAUAUAUAUGCAUGUUUAUGUGUAUUAAAUUUGCAUGUGGGUCUGUUCUUGUUAAUAGGGCAUAUUUGUGAUUUUGGCCCGUUGAUGGCAUAAAUGUGAUUAUAUGUAUGUAAAUGAUUGAGAUCACAUUAUUAUGAGGAUAUAUUUGUAGUAUUCGGCUCGAGGUGAUCUAAGUGAGCGGAUUAGCAGAAUAGUCACAACAGGGUCUAAUACCUGGCUCGGGGUGAACCUAGGGGUAUUUUGGGAAAUUUAAUGUAUAUUUGAGAUUUAUUGAGUAAUGGGUAAUUAUAUGGUGAUUAGAGCUUAUAGGACCACUUGAGAAUUAGCGGGAAAUGUGGUAAAAGGACGGGUUUGCCCUUAAGGGCAAUAGGAGGCUAAGAAUAAGGUUGAGGGUAUUUUGGUCAUUUGUGUGAGGGAUAAGCUUAGGAAACCUCAUGAAUCCACCAGAAAACACCUUUCAACUCUCUCUCUCUCUCCCUUCAUACGAUUCUCUCUCCCUCUCUUGUGCUUUGGGGAAGCCUUUGGAGUUUUGGAGAGCUAGCUUGGAAAUCUAAGAGGUUGAAGCUUGGGGACUGAAGAAUUGGAGCUAGGAUCAUUGGAGGAUAAGCUUAGGGUCGGAAUCACCAUCAAGGUAAGGUCUAAGUCUUGAUUCUUUUUUAAAUUUUUACUAUUAAGAAAGGUUUUGGCUGGGUUUUGAUGUUGCUUUAAUUGUUGAGUUAGGGUGAAAAUUGUGGUUGGUUUUUGGGUAAUUAUAAUGCCUAGGGUGUGUUGUUAAGAGUCCUAGACUCAAUUCUGGUUUUAGUUCAAGGUUACAAUAAAUUUUCACUGAAUUUUGUUGGGAGAAAAUGCAGGAAAAGCCCCAUGAUUUCUGGGUUCCCAGGGUCGCGCCGCGACCUUGUUCUUGAGCACCACAGCCCGCGUGACCUCAGAAGCCUUAGGGGUUUUUUGUUUCGUAGGCGUGCCGCGACCCUAUGGGGAAAGUCCUAGCGCAUGUCCCUAGGUGUUUAGGGGCUAGCGCCUCUAACUUGGAGGCGCACCGCGACCUUUAGGGCCAAGUCGCGGCCCGCCUAGGCAGCCUUAGCCAAAUUAGGUUUUUGGGCUCGAGAACUUAAACCUAAGUGUUCGGGAAGGGUUCUACUACUUGGUUUAGUAGAAUUCGAGGUCCCGAAGGCUGGUACGUUAUUCUUAAGGAAUUUAAUGGGUUUAGGUUUUAAUAGUUAUCCAUUGUCUCUAUGUGAUUAGGGUUACCGUUAAGGCUCAGGAUUGAGGAUCGUGCUCGGGACUGCUCUACAUCUUCAGCUCAGAAUUUGAGGUAAGAUGUAACGACCCAACUAUUCUAGACUUUGGACCAUUAAUAACUACUGUACACAGACACUAAUCUUAAGAAUAUAUAUAUAUAUAUGAAAUAACCAUAAAUUAUUUAAAACUAUAAAAAGUUAAAAUACAUAAAAUUCAUAGUAGGAUAUGGGAUCCCAUUGUUUUGAAAAUAAAAUAGAGCAUAACUUAAAUCUUAAAUAAAAUGGUUACAAUAUUAAGUGCGGAAAUACAUAAAAAUCAUAAUUUAAAAGACUUAAACAACUUCAUCCUCGAAUCGUUCGCGCAGUCCACCGAUUUCAUUCUCCCUCAAUACACAUUCCCAAGCUGCCAAGAAUCUUCCCGUCGCCAUAACUAUUUUCCUGCACAUAUAAAACAUAAAUGAAUGAGCCUAAUGCCUAGCAAGGAAAAUCUACUACAAGCAUGAAACAUAAUCAUACACAUAAACUAUGAACAUCUAUCAUAUACUAUAACACAUAUAUCAUAAUUCUAACCCAUGUACAUGGUAACUAUUAGGGUUUGCUAACUAAGCAACUAUAAGCCUCAGACUACAAUGAGGUUUGCUAGUCAAGCAACUAUAAGCCCCAAAAACAUAUAACUAUUGGGGUUUGCUAUAUAGCAACUAUAAGCCCCAAAACACAAAUGUGAUAAGGUUUGCUAUAUAACAACUAUAAGCCCCAAACAUACAUAUAUCAUACACAUAAAAUCAUACUAUAGCAUAAUCAUAACAUCUUACAUAAACAUAGCACAUAUCACACAAGAACUAUCCUAUUUUCUUUACCAAAAUACUGGGAUGAUGAGAACAAGGUUGGGAUUUUGGAACACUCCUAAAAACCAUUAAUAGAAAGGUGAGUAUUCUAAAAGAAAGAGAUGAAGAGGAAUGAACUAAACCAUCGAGAAGAUACUUACCAACGAGAACCUCAAGUUCAAAGAACUUAGAUGCCUAAUCAAGAAUAAAGAAUACUGAGUUAGGAUUUGAGUAGAGAAAAACUAUAAGAACUAAUGAAACAAUACAGAAAAGGAACUAAGAAUAGGAAUACCUUUGAAAAAGCUAUGAUCGAACUACACCUCAAAACCGAAAUACACACUAUGAACCUUACUUCUCAAGUGUCUAAUAAGCUUAGAAUGAUAAAGCUUAUAACCCCAACCCAAGUGUUUAUCACUCUAUAGUCUCACUAGCACCUGGAAGGCUCUGAUCAAUGCUUGAAGAAUGAAUGAAAAGGCUUGGUGCUAGGUCCCAUUUAUAGAGUUCUAGAAAUAAAAAUCUUCUUUUUGGCUUUGAAUAAAAAUAAUGAAUUUAAUUGAAAAUAUUUUAAUAUUCUUUAGUCAAAGGCUUAGGACUUGGUCAAAUUGUUCAGAGAGAGGUUUAAUGAGUCAAAGCUUCAUUUUUAAAAACAAAAAUAAUAAAAACAAAUAGAAUCCUAACUUCUAACUCCCUAAAUCUCGUAACUCUAAACUCACCUACAGUAAAAUCAAUAUAACUGGAGUUGUAGGACUCCGAUUUAAACCAUCUCUAUACCAUUAGAAAUCUAAUUCAAUUAUUAACAACUUUCUAGAAAUACUAUUUUUCGAAAUUCAUAACAUAACUGGGUCAAAAAUAGGUCGGAAGUUACAGUACCCUAAAGUUACCAUAAUUCUAUUUAAUUAUCUAAAUACAACCUAAUCCACAAAUAAAUAAAAUUAUGACAAAUGUCAUGCUCCUAACAGAUUCUAGUGAAGACUAAGUCUUAUAUUUCCCUUAUUUUAUCAUUAAAAUAAUAAUUCCUUAAUAAUCAUGCAUAUGACAAGUGUCAUAAUCCUAUUGGCUCUAUCUAAACCUUAGGAAUAACUAUGCUCAUGACAAGUGUCAUAUUCUUAUUGGCUCUAUCUAAACCUUAGGAAUAACUAUGCUCAUGACAAGUGUCAUAUUCUUAUUGGCUCUAUCUAAACCUUAGGUUAUAAUAAUUAUCAUAUUAAUAACCAGCAAUAUUAAUCAAACCUUAUGUUAUAAUUAAUAUUCUUAAACUAUAGGUUAAACUUAUAAAAUCCAUAACUAUUGCUAAGAGUUUUUAACUAAGUCCCGGCUUGAACCAAAAUCCACAGUAAUAAACAUACUAUAACUACUACUAGUUAUUACUAUUACUACUACUAUCUAACUAACUAAGUAAAGUUCUUGGACUCUACAUAAGAAAACUGCACCCGGGUUGUGAAUGGGCUGAAACCCCCCUGUAAAUGAAUAUAUGUGAGAUUGUAAAUGUAUCUGUGUCUAAGAAUAUCUGGAUAGGCAUGUUUGUUCGUGUUGUUUUUUAUUGCCUAUCUUGCAAUCUAUUUAUCUGUUAUAUUUGAUCUAAAAGUCUGGCCUAAGGGAGUCGAGGCUGGUGUUAAGCGUGCGGAAUGGAGCCCAGCCUAAGUGAGUCGAGGUCAGCUAAAUAACUUAAGGGCUCGGCCUAAGGGCGUCGACACUUAACUAACUGUACUGAAAGCUGAGUUUGAGUUACAUGUUGGAUUAAACUAUUUAUUAUUGUCUAGCUAGUUGCUUGUGUUCUGUAAUUAUUCACUUGAUCGGUUUGAGUUGACUGCAUAUGUAAUGUUGUUCAUUUAUGCAUGUGAAUUAAGUUUUCUUGCUAAGUCUUGGCUCACAGGUGCUAUGUGGUGCAGGUAAGGGAAAGGGAAGCUGGACCAGCCGUGAGUUGGAGGGCUUUGGGGCAGUGUGUACAUCGGCAGCUGCUCGACCGCCAUGGCCGAGGGAUUGAGAGGGAUUAGAGCCAAAAUUGUAUUUUGCCACUUAGGCUAGCUUCAAUUGUAUUUACUUUUAAGGGUUGCAAUUGCCUUGUAAACACUAUUUUUGGGAUCCCAUGUACCAACUCUUAUUUUUAAUGAAAGUCAACAAUUUUAUGAUCAAAAUCUUAUAACCCUAACUCGU